rnacentral:misc_RNA from 1 species
GAUGAAGAACGUAGCGAAAUGCGAUAAGUAAUGUGAAUUGCAGAAUUCAGUGAAUCAUCGAAUCUUUGAACGCACAUUGCGCCCGCCAGUAUUCUGGCGGGCAUGCCUGUUCGAGCGUCAUUUCAACCAUCAAGCCCCCGGCUUGUGUUGGGGACCUGCGGCUGCCGCAGGCCCUGAAAAGCAGUGGCGGGCUCGCUGUCACACCGAGCGUAGUAGCAUACAUCUCGCUCUGGGCGUGCUGCGGGUUCCGGCCGUUAAACCACCUUCAUAACCCAAGGUUGACCUCGGAUCAGGUAGGAAGACCCGCUGAACUUAAGCAUAUCAAUAAGCAGAGGA